GGGCCUGUGGUGUAACGGAUAGCACAAUCGGCUUCGGACCGGUUAAUCGGGGUUCGAAUCCCUGCAGGCUCA
rnacentral:tRNA from 1 species